rnacentral:lncRNA from 1 species
CGGGCCGGGAGGGGAGCCUGAGCUGGAUGUGCAGAAGAGUGAGGGGUGCAGAUCUGAGGAAAGAGCCGGCAGUCAGGGAAAGAACGGUGGGUCUAUCUCCGGGCUGGAGGCCGGGAUGUGCACUGCAGAAGGGAUGGGGGACAGCGUGAGGAGCGCUGAUAGCACCAACCAGCGCUGGUGGUGCAGAAGCCUUAGCUUUCGUCACGGCCGCAAACCUUAUAGGGGUGAAAUUGGGAUGUUCCUCUUUAAUCACCCCAUAAGCUUCUUAUCACUAAGUCUGUCCACUGGCCUUGUACUAUUUUGCUUGUUUGCAAGCCUUUUUCUCUAAAAACGUUCAUUAGUUCUGGUUAGGAGGAGGGCAGAUAAUAAGGGCUGGAAAGGAAGCUGCUCAGAGGCAGGUUUGCUUUGCUGAAGAUGGGCUCAAUGGAAUGGAGAAUGAACCUUCUUAGUGUCCAGUGUGAAUUAGUGCAACACUAAUUGCAACAAUUUAACGCAUGCUGAAACUGAAUAGAACUUCCUUACACUUCCUGAAUCAAGGAGAGAUUUUUCUUCAGUGUUACAGUCUCCCUAGCUGACUUGAAUGGUUAACUGAGAAAGGUGUGACACAAACUUCUGUUCAUACUUUUACUUCAUUAUCAGAAGCAGUUAGCCAUUGUGUGGUAUAUUCCUCAUUGUUAGAGCAUUUUAAUAAGAAUUUCCAGAAGCAGUGUUUCAGUUAGGUGCAGAAACAGUCCUGUAAACCGUAUAUUGUGUAUUUUAUAUAUAUUUACAAUAUGUUUGAUUGAAUAUAAGAAAUAAGUUUGUUUGUUUGUUUUUCCCCCUUAAGAGUGAUGAGACACUGGAACAGGUUGCCCCUAGAGCCAGUGGAUGCCCCAUCCAUAGAGAGUUCAAGGUCAGGCUUAAUGGGGCUCUUAGCAACCUGAUCCAGCUGUAGGUAUCCAUAUUCAUUGCAGGGGAGUUGGACCAGAUGACCUUUAAGGGUCCCUUCCAACUCAAACCUUUCUAUGAUCAGAUACUGUUUGGAACUCAGUAAUAAAGAACUUAUCUUAAAGAUGUUCUAAAUGUGAACCAAACUUCUUUAUACUAAGCACAAAUAAGCAGAAGAAUUUACAUUUUCUACUGUGACAUAAUAAGAAUUAGGCUUUUUUUUUUUGUCUUUUUUUUUUUUUUUUUGGUAGAUUAACUGAUGUUAUCAUAUGACCACAUAGCUUAUUGACACAGGAAAAGGUCAUUCCUGGAUCCUUUUGAAUUCUGCGUACAGUUAAUGAUGAACUCAGAUCUGUAAUCAUAUUGUCAAUUAUCUGAUGACUAAUUUUACUGUGAGAAAGGCUUCAUUCAAUUUCUAAUGUCCA